AGUGAUUCUAAUUCCAUGAUACAAAUCACUUUAAAGUGGAAGAAUUAACUUUGAAAGUAAGGGAAUCCCAGUUCCCUCAGUGCUGAAGAUCUGCACCUGAUUUCCAAAUGUCCAGAUUGAGCUUUCAAGGUGAGUGGCGUGUUGCACACCCGACAAAUCAACCAAAACUCUGUGAGAGAUUGGAAGAAAUCACCGUGGACUUUUAAGUUCAACCAUCAAAAAAGGAAUGUACUAUUCAUUUUUUAAAUAUUCAUGUGAAAUAAGAAUAGCAAAUUUUGAUGAUAGACUUUAAAUUUCACAAGUUAAUUAUCAAGUGAAUAGUCUUUUGUGUUGUUUCAAGUGAUGAAGUGUGUUUGUCUGUAUUCUUGAAGCCAAAGUGUUCCUCAGAGGAGCCUGAGGAUUGAGUAGUGGUUUAAGAGAGGAGGGACAAAAAAAGAGGGAAGGACAGUCUGGUUGGUAUUGAAGCAGGAGCCUCUGCUAUCCCCAUCCCGCUUGACCCAGAGCAGCUCCAAUUUUUUUUCUCUUUAUUGGAAUUCUAAGUAAGCUUUCAUGGGGUUGGGUAGUAGGGUGGGGUGCCGAGGAACAGCUAGAAUAAAUGGAGACUGCUGCUUUAAAAAAAAAAUGUUGAGAACUACUUUUGUAGUUUCCAAGUAUUUUAAUAUCACUCAUUUGGCCAAAUUUGACUGCUACAAGUAAACUAGUCAGUCAUAACUGUGCUGUGGUCAUGUGUUUAUACCGACCUUUUCUUCCCACUUUUUCCUGCUGCAUUCUUAGUGAUACUGAAGAACAUCGUGAUGUGUACAGAAAUGGUUUCUAUGCUAUUUGAUUAUCAGUCAAUUUUAGCUUUUUUGGGGGGUACUGGGGAUCCAACUUGGGUCCUUGCGCUUGCGCAGCAGGCAAUGAAACCACUGAGCUAAAUCCCCAGCCCAAAUUUUAGCUUUUUGAUAGUACCUUAUUAGUUGCAGAUCCAUCUUUUUUAUAUUAAAGCACUAAUGCAGUUUGUAAUUGUGCCUACUCUUAAAAUCUUCAGUAAAAAGUACAAGAUAAACACUUUAGAGAAAUGAUAACAGGGAUGCAGUAAUAAUAAAAUGCUAUUAGUUGUUUUUAUGUACAAUAUAAAGCAGGCAAAUACCAUCACUUUUUGAGUGCCUUUUACCAUUAUAGUAAUGACUUAAUGGAGCUUUAAAAGCAAGAAAUCAUCCUGCAUAACUGUGUACGUAUGGUAUCACCAACAUGAUGUACCAAAAUGGUUUAGAUUUCACAUGACUUAGAUUUCAAUUUCAAAAUUACAUUAUCCGAUUACUUCUAAAUAGGUGCUAAGCAAACAAAACUCCCGUGUCACUCAACCAUGGAUUUGCACCUCGUGUUUAAUGUGAAUAUUUAUUUCCACAUGUCCCUCUCAACUGGGUUUUUUUCUUACCUUUCCCCUAGUUAUUUCAGAUAUGUGAUGUCAUCUUCCCAUACUGUCGCCUUUCCAUCAUGAAUGCUUAAUUAAGAGCUUGAUUCCUUUGUAGAGCUCAUAGGCAGUACAGAAGUGAGUUUCAGAGGGCCUUACUUCUUGGUGUAGUGUCUUUAAAUAGUACCUGUGUAUAGUGUACAUUUUGUUUUGCACAUAGUUUGUUGCCCUGAAUGGAUUUAUUUUUUUAAAUCUUUUUUUCUUUAUUACAUUUACAGUCCAGAGCACAAGUUUCUUUUAUUUUAAAUGCAAUAUAAUUUGCUUUAUUUUACAACACUAAAUUUGCUUUCAACUUCUGGUUCAUUGGACUGUCUGCGCUGGUGAGUUAGAUGCUUCCGGCCACCUUCACAGUUUGGUAGAGCAGCUCUUUCUGCUUCUGUCUUUAAGCUGUAGCUUACAGCCAACAGGUACCAUUUGUGGUAUUCAGCAUUCUUAUGCUAGGAUGGUGAUUGUACCAAAUGCUGAGUUGUUUUAUUUCUAGAUGUAAUUAGUUCACUUUAUGUAAUAUUCUUCCUUCUCUCAAACUGACUUUAAAAACAAAGUUUUAUCAUUUUCAUUGUAUUUGUAUUUAUUACAGAGUGUUUUAGCUUUGAUGUUCUUUGUAUUUUCACUAAGUUGUUACAUGAGCUUUAUCAAUAACAUCUGUAUAAAUGGUUUUUAAGAAUUAACUAUGUAUGUGCC
ensembl:lncRNA